AGGGGUAUAGCUUAGUGGUGGAGUGCAUGCUUAGCAUGCAUGAGGUCUUGGGUUCAAUCCCCAGUACCUCCU
rnacentral:tRNA from 1 species